rnacentral:antisense_RNA from 1 species
CUUCAACGAACCGAGCCGCAGGGGGUGUUCGGCGGAACGGUCCUGACCGUAGGUGGCGAGCAGCGCCUGGGCCUC